rnacentral:misc_RNA from 1 species
AAAAAAAAAAAAAGGAGACGUUAAGCAAGUCUAGGAAAGAAAGAUACGCACCGGAGAAAUAUAUAAAGACGGACGUGAGCAAUGAUGGAAUUGCAGGUUCAUUUACAGGCAUCUUGGAGCUCAACUCUCAAGGGAAAUAAAACACCAUGGCCACCCAUUAUUCUUGGGUCAUAGCCGGGAAUUCUUUAAUAUGCCCAAAAGGCCGGGUCGCUUUAUAACCAUGGAGGUCUGCCCUCAAGCCCAAUUAGUCACAACUUAGAAACUUGAUUUUCAUUUUAUCAAAAUUUAGUUUGAUUUUUCGUUCUCUUUUUCCAUCUUGGGAACCGUUUGAUGGACAGUUCUCUCUUUUCCCUCCACUCCUUCACUCUACUCCCAUUUCUCUCUUUGGUUAAUAGCAGAACAAUGAGCAAAAUGAAAGGAAAAUUAUGUUUAGAAAGUCAGAAAGUCGAAAAA